GUCCGGCCCUAAACUUUUAAUUACACCCUAUCGCCAAGGAACUACGAGCAAUGCUUAAAACCUAAGGGACUUGACGGUACCCCAUAUCCCCCUAGAGGAGCCUGUCCUACAAUUGACUUUCCCCGCUUGACCUCACCACUUCUAGCUCAUCAGCUUGUAUACUUCCGUCCAGCCUACCGUGUGAACGACUAGUGAGCCCAAACGUCUUCGAACCAACACAUCAGGUCAAGGUGCAGCAAAUGAAGUGGAAAGUGAUGGGCUACAUUUUCUAACCUAGAAAACACAGAUAGUCACAUGCAACCUGACUGGAAGGUGGAUUUAGCAGUAAAAAGAAAAUAGAGCGUUCUUUUUAACACGGCACUGAGGUGCGCACACACCGCCCGUCACCCCCCUCAAAUACAACAGCAGUAAUUUACAAGCAAGAUAACAAAGAGGKGGCAAGUCGUAACAUGGUAAGCGCACCGGAAGGUGUGCUUGGAAAC
rnacentral:rRNA from 1 species